rnacentral:lncRNA from 1 species
CAAUGAAUGAGCUUAAUAGCAUCAAUGGAUCAUGGAGUUUGUUUUCUUGCUUUCUUAUGUAUUUAGGCUUUUAACUUAAUAGAAAUAGAAGCUUUUUUUUUUAUUUUUUUUUUGGGGUCUCCUCUCUACUCUAAUGCUUGUUUCUUGAAAUUCUCUGAUUUGUAAACCAUAUCCAUUAAUUUGUGCGAUACUAUUUUUGUUGAUUUUAUGCCAAUCUAGCAUCAGUAAUUAAAAAAAGUUGAAUGGAAGUAUUAUGGAGAGGAUGUGUCCUUGAUACGAUAUUGUCUUGGUUGUUGACUCAAAUAGCAAACCAUCUUCAUAAGAACGAGAUAAAGAAAGUUCUCCUAUUGUGGUUCUUGACCACCUCAAUGUAAAUAAGUUUGGAACAAAUUGGUUGCCAUGGUAUUUCAAUGGCUUGUCUUGGAUUUUCUUAUUAAUAUUAUUCAACAUGAUAUGUUGUGUUAACUUUUUUUCUUUGUUUUGGUGAUUUUCACCUGUUGAGCUCUAUGCCAAUUACAAUAUAAAAAUGCUACUUCCAUUUCUUUGUAGUAUUCAUCAUUAUAAACUGGAAAAUAUUUAUUCUAUGAGUGAGCUAUUCUUCUUGAUCUUCCGUCACCUGUCAUCUCUAAAACUUUGUGAAAUUUUAUUUCAAGCUUAUGGCAUUUGUGUCAAAUGAGAUUUAUUGAGAGAGCGAAUAUUAUCCUUGAAGGAUGGGAAACUGAAAGCGCUUACUGUAGUAAUAAUUACUAAUAAAUUGGGGGAUAUUGAAGAGAUAUUCAUCUCUACUCCCAUUAUAAUUCCAGCUUUUCUGCUUUGAAAUUGCUCAAUAAGAUAAUAUAUCUCAUUAUUUUGUGCAGGCCAUCAAAUUCACAAGUAUGCAACAUGAUGACAACUUGAAUAAACCUGAGAUGGUAAGCUGUGGGCUCUUAAUGCCAAUCAAUUGCAAUUGCAAAAGCAUGAUUACUGCAUGUUUCAAAUUUCAAGUUUUCUUUGCUAGUUUAUUUAAUUUUUAUUCUUUGGCAGGUUGGGCUAUUGUUGGAGUAUACUGUUGGCAACUUUGAUCCCCUAUAUAUUGUAAAUAUGUUGUCAAAUGACUUGGAGAUUCCUCGAUAAGUAUGUUCUCUACUUUUUUUUAUCAAUCUGGUGAUCAGUUUGCAUAGCGUCUUUUUCUACAAUUACAUGAACAUUUUUCAUGUUGAAUACAAUGUGGAUGAAAAGCAUUUCGAUUUUUCUGUUGGGUUCUGUUAUUUUACCUAGACUACAUGUUUACAUGUGACUUUUAGACCAUACAUUUGAACAAGAUAUUUUCCUAGAAUAUACUCUAGAUAGACUUUGUAAAACCACAUAAUCUUCUCGACACAUUACCACAUUUUAUCACCGCAUCUUUUACUUAGAUAUUUUCAUAGAUUUUUCUAGACAAUGUGUUUAGAAACGUUAGGCAUGUCGGAUUUUUUAAUUGAAUUGGGGCUAUGAGCAAAAUCCUUAAACCCAUAUUACUUAGUUCAAAAAUAAGUUUACUUUUCAACAGGUUGUAAAGUCAAGGGUUCAGUUACACUUGCUCUUCUGGUUUUCACUCCAAUAUUUAUGAGGACCUCUAAAUACACUACUAUUUAUAUUUUGCUUGUUGCUUCAAACUUUUAUGUAAUUGUAGUUUGUAUGUUUUACGCACAUUGAUUUACGCAUAGCCUAUUCUUUUCAUGAAUAUUGAAGAGAAUAUGAAUAACAUAUUAGCUUUUAAUUACUGUAAUUAUCCUUUUGACUCUUCAUUUGGUGCAGCUAGCCUACAUGAUACUUAUUCAUCAAUGUUCAUAACUCUAAUUGCAUAAAACAAAAAGAAAAAAAAAUUAAGAAAUUCCUAAUUCUGGUAUUUAAACAUACGCCAAAGAUGUUACUUUUUAUCUCCUCCUAAAAGUUUAUCAUUUUCAUACCAAAAUAAGUAGUGGAAGCUACUAAUAUCUUUGUCUUCGGUAUUUGGAAGGUUGGUGGUUUAUGUUACAUUUAAUUCGAUCAUAGCAGAAAAAAUGGUUAAUGUUGUUUUACUAAAGACGGUUUAGGCACUUCAUUAUUUCUUCUCAUUUUUCCAGCUUUUUGGGGGUAACUAAAAGCUGAACUUACUCUAUUAUUGAGUGUCAGAGUUUAACUUGUAUUCAUUUUGUUAACCUUCAAUCAAGUAACUUCACAAUACCACCAUUGUCAUGUAACCCAACCAUUCUUGAUUAAGGCUGCUAGAGUGGAUGAAUAAAUGUUGGAAGAAUUCAUAACUGAGAUGAUAAAAUAUGGAAAGUCAUAAUUCUUCAUUAAGCACUAAUUGUUCUCACUAAAGUACAACUUAUGGCUCCCAACUGCUCUUUUUUAACGCAUCAGGCAUCAGCAUGACAAUUUCUGUUUUGCUUAUAUUUUUAAUGUAUCUUAGAUCAAUUUUGUUAUGUCCUUUUACAUGUGUGUCUAUUAUGCAUUCGCAGAUGUUGUGAUUCCAAUUAUUUUGCUUCGUGUUAGUGUGUGUAUUUGUUUUACAACACUUUGGCACACAUCACGUUGGCUUUUGUUUUGCAUCAGUUGUGCUAACUUGGUUGAUAUCCAUCAGUGCUCUCGAUUUGUACAAUAUUAUACAUUGGAAUCCACAUGUUUAUCAAGUGCUUUCCCCAUAUUACAUGCUGAAAGUAUUUGAAGAAGACGAGAACGAAGAUGGAUGCUGCUGGUAGAAUCUUUUCCUGCAUAACAGGUGAACCUCUUACAAUGUGGACAUAAGGAAAAUGUUGUGCAUAGCAUUUAUAAUUACAGAUGCAAGAAAGUGAAAGACAACAUGCAGCACAUUAUUGACCUCUUUCAAGAGUCCUAAUAAUCUAGUGCACUACUUAGCAUAAAUGUAACGGAAAAAUCUUGACAUAAAGGGGCAAACUGAAUAUUCCAUGUACUUAUUGAUAAAACAAUUUAUAUGCUUUAAUCAAACUGCCAUUUGAUGCCUGAUGAAUAUUCU